rnacentral:misc_RNA from 1 species
GAUGAAGAACGCAGCGAAAUGCGAUAAGUAAUGUGAAUUGCAGAAUUCAGUGAAUCAUCGAAUCUUUGAACGCACAUUGCGCCCCCUGGUAUUCCGGGGGGCAUGCCUGUCCGAGCGUCAUUACAACCCUCAAGCUCAGCUUGGUAUUGGGCCCCGCCGACCCGGCGGGCCCUAAAGUCAGUGGCGGUGCCGUCCGGCUCCGAGCGUAGUAAUUCUUCUCGCUCUGGAGGUCCGGUCGUGUGCUCGCCAGCAACCCCCAAUUUUUUUAAGGUUGACCUCGGAUCAGGUAGGGAUACCUGCUGAACUUAAGCAUAUCAAUAAGCGGAGGA